UGAUGAAUGCUUGGUCUUGUUGGAUUUAUGAGAAUCUACUGAAUCUACUGGUACCUUGUUUCCCAUGUAACAAUAAGAAAUAUACUCAAAACCUGGAUUAACCUUUUUAGUCACAUAGCACUACGUACUAUUAUUCUGGACACUACUGUACAAGACAGAGCAUUCUGU